GGCGCAGGCGGCUUGGUCAGUCUGAAGUGAAAGCCCGGGGCUCAACUCCGGAAGUGCUUUGGAUACUGCCAAGCUUGAGUACGCGAGAGGAGAGUGGAAUUCCAGGUGUAGCGGUGAAAUGCGUAGAUAUCUGGAGGAACACCGGUGGCGAAAGCGGCUCUCUGGCGCGCUACUGACGCUGAGGCCCGAAAGCGUGGGGAGCGAACG
rnacentral:rRNA from 1 species